rnacentral:rRNA from 1 species
UGGGGAAUAUUGCACAAUGGGCGAAAGCCUGAUGCAGCAACGCCGCGUGAGCGAUGAAGGCCUUCGGGUCGUAAAGCUCUGUCCUCAAGGAAGAUAAUGACGGUACUUGAGGAGGAAGCCCCGGCUAACUACGUGCCAGCAGCCGCGGUAAUACGUAGGGGGCUAGCGUUAUCCGGAAUUACUGGGCGUAAAGGGUGCGUAGGUGGUUUCUUAAGUCAGAGGUGAAAGGCUACGGCUCAACCGUAGUAAGCCUUUGAAACUGGGAAACUUGAGUGCAGGAGAGGAGAUUGGAAUUCCUAGUGUAGCGGUGAAAUGCGUAGAUAUUAGGAGGAACACCAGUUGCGAAGGCGGAUCUCUGGACUGUAACUGACACUGAGGCACGAAAGCGUGGGGAGCAAACA